GACGAAUGCUGGCGGCGUGCUUAAUACAUGCAAGUCGAACGGACAGGCCCUGCUCUUGCGGGGUGCUCGUUUGCCGAACGCGUGAGUAACACGCGAGUAUCCUGCCCCUGUCUUUGGGAUAACUCUUGGAAACUCGGGCUCAUAUCGGAUAGGAUCUCCUGCACCAUGGGGUUGGUUGGAAAGUUUCGGCGGUUGGGGAUGGACUCGCGGCUUAUGAGCUUGUUGGGGGGGUAGUUGCUUACCAAGGCUUCGACGGGUAGCCGGCCUGGGAGGGUGGCCGGCGACAUUGGGACUGAGAUACGGCGCAGACUGGUACGGGAGGCAGCAGUGGGGAAUAUUGCACAGUGGGCGGAAGCGAGAGACAGAAACGCCGCGUGCGGGAUGCCGGCCUUCGGGUUGUAAACCGCUUUCGACUGUGACGAAGCGUGAGUGACGGUAAUGGGUAAAGAAGCACCGGCUAACUACGUG
rnacentral:rRNA from 1 species